CGCACCUCCUAGACGCUCCACUAGGUGCUGCUGCCGCGCGGGGUGGACGGGUCCCGACCGGUCCUGACGGACAGUCCCGGGUCCUGGCCGCUCCUGAGGAACCGUCUCAGGUCCAGACGGGUUCUGACGGGCGGCGCUGGGUUCCAAGAGGCACUGGGUCCUGACCAGCAGCAAUCCUGAACAGAAACAGAUGCUGGGUCCCGAAGGCAACACCAGGCACUCUACCUGUACUUACAUUCUUAUUGGUAGGACUCAACAUCCAACACCUGCAAUUUAAAGCAAGAGAGGUUUAUUUUGGCUCACAAUUACAGUACUGGUUGGCUGUCUCCAAGGUAAGAAGACCGUGGUGGAAGAGUCUGGUGGAGGAAAGCUGCUUCCAUGGUGGUGGUCAGGAAGCAGAGAGUGAAGGGAAGAGCCAGAAAGGGAAAUAGACACUUCCAGGGCAUACCCCAGUAACCUGCUUCUUCCUUCCAGGCCCCACCGUUCAGUAGCGCACUUAGCUGCUAACCUCAGCAGUGGAUGAUUCCACUGAUGAGUACAGCACCUCUUCAUCUAACCACCCACCAAAAGCCACUCCCACACCUCUGAGCAUAUGAGAGUUUUGGAGACAUUCUAUAUUCAAGCCACAACACUGCCUCUCUGUGGAUUGCUUUUUUAUUCUUGGUGAUAUCUUUUAUCCUUACAUUUUAAAAUAGUUUUUUAUUUUGAUAUAAUCUGAUUAAUCAGUCUUCCUUAUGAUUAGCACUAGUUUAUGUUCUAGUUAAUGAUUUUUUUCUACCCU
rnacentral:lncRNA from 1 species